CCUACGGGUGGCAGCAGUGAGGAAUAUUGGUCAAUGGGCUUACGCCUGAACCAGCCAAGUCGCGUGAGGGAAGACUGCCCUAUGGGUUGUAAACCUCUUUUGUCAGGGAGCAAUUGGCGCUACGUGUAGCGUUAUCGAGAGUACCUGAAGAAAAAGCAUCGGCUAACUCCGUGCCAGCAGCCGCGGUAAUACGGAGGAUGCGAGCGUUAUCCGGAUUUAUUGGGAUUAAAGGGUGCGUAGGCGGAAUGCCAAGUCAGCGGUAAAAUCGCGGGGCGCAACCUCGCUCCGCCGUUGAAACUGGGGAGUGAGAGUGAGGGAGGAGGAGGCGGAAUGCGCGGUGGAGCAGUGAAAGGC
rnacentral:rRNA from 1 species